UACGUAGGGGGCGAGCGUUGUCCGGAAUCAUUGGGCGUAAAGCGCGUGUAGGCGGCUCGAUAAGUCCGGUGUGAAACCUUGGGGCUCAACCCCAAGCCUGCACUGGAUACUGCCGAGCUAGAGUCCGGGAGGGGAGAGCGGAAUUCCUAGUGUAGCGGUGAAAUGCGUAGAUAUCGAGAGGAACACCUGCGGCGAAGGCGGGUUGCUGGGCCGACACUGACGCUGACAGCGCGAAAGCCAGGGGAGCAAACGGG
rnacentral:rRNA from 1 species